rnacentral:rRNA from 1 species
AUAUACGACCAUAGGGUGUGGAAAACAGGGCUUCCCGUCCGCUCAGCCGUACUUAAGCCACACGCCGGCCGGUUAGUAGUUGGGUGGGUGACCACCAGCGAAUCCCGGCUGUUGUAUGUU